GUUACGGUAGUAGGGUAUGUAUGGGGAAGGUUAUAUCUGUCUUCUGGAUAUAUCUGUUAUGGUAGUAGGGUAAGUAUGGGGAAGGUUAUAUCUGUCUUCUGGAUAUAUCUGUUACGGUAGUAGGGUAUGUAUGGGGAAGGUUAUAUCUGUCUUCUGGAUAUAUCUGUUAUGGUAGUAGGGUAAGUAUGGGGAAGGUUAUAUCUGUCUUCUGGAUAUAUCUGUUACGGUAGUAGGGUAUGUAUGGGGAAGGUUAUAUCUGUCUUCUGGAUAUAUCUGUUAUGGUAGUAGGGUAAGUAUGGGGAAGGUUAUAUCUGUCUUCUGGAUAUAUCUGUUAUGGUAGUAGGGUAAGUAUGGGGAAGGUUAUAUCUGUCUUCUGGAUAUAUCUGUUACGGUAGUAGGGUAUGUAUGGGGAAGGUUAUAUCUGUCUUCUGGAUAUAUCUGUUAUGGUAGUAGGGUAAGUAUGGGGACAGUGGUUAAAAGAUAUCUAAUAUUAUAGUACUAUAAGGUAACAUUCAGAAUAAAAAUCACAUGAUCUAAAAGUGGAUCUUUAUUUGAAUAUAUCAAGUUAAUGGACAAUCUCACACA